rnacentral:lncRNA from 1 species
AAGUGGUAACUGCUCCAGUUUUCUCUUCCCUUCUCUGGGCUCCUCUCUUUGCUUCCGACCAGGUUCCACUCCUGUUUAUCCCUGGGUGGUUCGCCCCUGGAUUUAGCAAUGCGAUCUACUUGCUGGUUAUUUGAUUCCGGAGGAGCAUUGGCUGGGGCUGCGAUUCCCGCCGCGCAGUCUCCAAGCAUUUCCGCCACAUCGCCGGGGCUCCAGGUUCCAGUGCAAGUCUUCAGCGGUAGAUUGCAGAACUGAAAACGAGUUUGAGCAUCCAAGCAUCUCUCUUAACAGCCAGGUGCUGACCAGUAAGAUUCCAUACAAAUCUGCAAAAGGACUCUGGAGGACAAAUACUUCAGCAGACACCAUGAAGUCCUGGAGAGUCUCCACAAAAACCGUGAGUGUUUCUCCCGUGUAUAGUCAAGGAAGUGGAUAACCCAGUAUUCCAAGAAAUCCCAAGGUAGAGCCUUCACCUCAAGGAGGAGGCCACGUCUGAAGGCACAGAAGAGAAAGUGCUGCUUUCUGGCUUCCCUUUAAACUUGGAAGCUUUGUGGACUUGAGGGCAAGUGAUGAAAUCGCCCCAGCUUGGACUCCAGGAAGAUCCAAAUGAGCACUUCCAAGUAGGAUGUGGAGGGUGACUUCUUUUGCCUUCAGGACUGUCCCACUUGCUGUCCCGCUUAGCUGAAAGAACUAAGUCUCCUAAAUAAGUAUUUGUGGUUCACCAAAGUGAACAAAGUAUAUAUCCAAAUAUUGAUUCAGAAUCCAAAAGACCUCUGCCUCUCUGGAUUGAAUAACUUUCCUUCUUUUUCCUCUUUCCUUUACAUUUUAUACCCGGACAAAGACAGAAGACUAGUCAAGACUGCUGAUCAUAAGGAGUUUAAUAUUCAAGUAAGGCAAAAAGGACUAAUACAAUUCAAAAGUGCUAUGGUAAAAUUAUAAAAAAAAAAGUAUGCUCUAUCCUUCUGGAUGAAAAUGUCUCAGAAGAAUGACAGAAGUCAGAACACUUGCUCCCUAUUGACUGAUGAGUGACUAUGUCUGCAGACUGGCAUGGUGAUUGGAGAAAUGCUGAAUGCUCUUUCUAAAAAGAUACUAUGCUCUCAAAUGUUGUAGAUAUGCAAAAUGGAGCAGAGCACUAGAAAAUGUUUGAGAGCAGGUUGUGCUAUAUUUCUUGAGGAGCAGGGCAGAGUAGGUGAAUGACAAUUUUUAAAAAAAGUAGUGGAAUCUCAAACAAUGGUCAUAAUUUACUGGGUAUAAUAAAGAUGUUGAAAGACUUAUAGCAGAAGGCUAACCUCUCACAAUUGGUUUCCAUAAUGUCAUUGCUGUCAUACUAAGGAGACUGGAAAUUUGACUUGGGGGGCAAGGGCAUAAAACAAUACAUUUUGCAAUGAAUUAAAUACAGGAAGUUAAUUUGUAUAAAUCCAAAUUUCUGGGUGAGGUUGUUUUAAGUGAUUAAUAAGAUGCCAAACAAAUGACUAGUGUAAUAUUAACUAAGUGUAUAAGGUCACUGAAUUACAUUGAAGCUGAAUAACAUAUGACUUAGGAAGAAACUUUUAAAGGGAAACAUUUAAUAUGGACAUAUGCACCAUAUAUUGUGUAUUGAUUUAUAUAUUGGUUUCUAGGUAAGAAAGUCUAGUGUGGUUUCCUGACCUCUUUUCUGUUGUUAAGACACUAUCUCUUUGAGAUGCCGCAUCAGUAUAGUGAAAAUUAUCUGGUCUCUAUGCUCUCUGGCUUCAAGUUGUAUUCAGAUAAUGUGAGGCACUGAAAUAAAAUACAAAGACAGAA